GCAGUUCCUCUAUUUGCUGCAGCGUGACUAGGAGGAAGCCCAAAGAGAGAGUUAGACCCAGGAUCCUCUCCUAGGUAGAGAAGUUCAGCAAGAGGCCAGCAGAGACAGAGAAGCUAGUGAGGUGGGGCAAGCUUUGGUGGUGAGUCCUGGAAAAAAAGGCAGGAUAUGGACUUGUAGGGGCAGAGUAUAGGGGCAUUCAGUUGAGACCCAGAGAAGGACAGAAAGCUCCUUUCUUUUGUCUGUGUUUUCCUGUCGGAUACCUCACUUAGGUCCGUGUGUAAGGCAGAUACCACGGGGUAUUACACAAGCUUGAAACAAGGCGGAGAAGGCUCUCCAAGCAGGACUGUGAGGAUGAGUUAGCUGCUCACCUGGUGCUUUGAGAGCCUUGGGUGAAAGGUGCAGCGUGGGUCAGUUCUCGGUAUAGGGAUUGAGCACCUUACAGCUGAGGUGGAGAGUGAUGCUGGUCUGCAAGGUUCUACGGGAUGGAAAUGCCAAGGAAGGAGAGGAGCCAGCUAGCCAGCCACAGUAGCAGUCCACAGAGGUGCCUUAUUCCUUUGGUUUAAAUGGAUGGAGGCUGCUGUCAGGAGGACCUUCCACUUUGAAAUUAAACUUCUAGCCCAAGAUGUCCCCAUUCUGUUGACUUUUUUAGGCUACUUCAUUUAAAUGUUUGUUCUUGGAGGAUAUCUUCUGGAUUUGUAUUUAAAUUCUAAGUUGAUUCCCAAGCACCCAGAGCUACUGGAGAAAGAGUUUUGGAGGCCAAUCCAAAUAACUAAAGCAAUAGAAAUAAAAUGGUCUGAAGAUAGUCACGCAACAUAUUUCCUUUGCUUAUCAUGAUCACUCCAGUUCAGGAGGGGAGUUUUUGUCCCAAAAGAUGCAGUGGAAUCCUUUACAUAUCACCACAUAAUAUGGCACUUUGUAUUGUACCCAACAAGGUUCCCAAUUGCUUGGAUUAUUAUUUGUCAACCAGCGAGGUUUGUUUUGAAACUCUUCUAUUUUAGGUGGUUAUAUAGGCCCCAUCACCAAUGUCUGAGCAUCUUACAAUCUUCAGUGCAGGUAUCCUCACAUCACCCCUGUGAGGUAGGGCAGUGUUAUUACCACCACCUUACAGACAGGAAAAUGAU